AUUGAACGCUGGCGGCAGGCCUAACACAUGCAAGUCGAGCGGAUGAAGGGAGCUUGCUCCUGGAUUCAGCGGCGGACGGGUGAGUAAUGCCUAUGAAUCUGCCUGGUAGUGGGGGAUAACGUCCGGAAACGGGCGCUAAUACCGCAUACGUCCUUAGGGAGAAAGUGGGGGAUCUUCGGACCUCACGCUAUCAGAUGAGCCUAGGUCGGAUUAGCUAGUUGGUGGGGUAAAGGCCUACCAAGGCGACGAUCCGUAACUGGUCUGAGAGGAUGAUCAGUCACACUGGAACUGAGACACGGUCCAGACUCCUACGGGAGGCAGCAGUGGGGAAGAGUGGAAGAAGGGCGGAAGCCUGAACCAGCCAUGCCGCGUGGGUGAAGAAGGUCUUCGGAUUGUAAAGCACUUUAAGUUGGGAAGACCGGCAGUAAGUGAAUACCUUGCUGUUGUGACGGUACCAACAGAAGAAGCACCGGCUAACUACGUG
rnacentral:rRNA from 1 species